AACUCAGCACGCAGGUUUUCUCCUCUCUUCACGCUGCCCCCUCAUCCCUUUCUCUUUGGCGUAAACGCAGAGCAUUCCUCUUCUCUCAGUCUCGCUCUCUCUGUUCGUAGCCUUUGUUGGCUCAAGUCUUGGCCUCUAAAGCUUGGGCUUUGAGGAGUACAUAAAUUUGAUUCUGGAUGAUGCUGGAAAAGUCAACAUCAAGAGGCAGAGCAAAAAACUUUAGGUGGGUUCAUUUUCUCAUUUUCCUUUUCUUUUAUUCUCCAAAAUGUGCAUACUUUGAAUGUGGUACAUCUAUUUUGUUAUGGGUCGAUUACAUAUCAAAAAAAAUGUACAAGGUAGAUUCUUCUUAAGAGAUGCAACACAAUAGCCACCUCUCUCUCAAUAGUGGAAAGUGAUGAUUUCAGCAAUUGUGUAAAUUGGCAUUAUGGUUCCUUUUCAAUCCCAUUGAGGUCUAGAAUCUUUGUUUACUGGCAAUGUUAGAAUUUAGAUACAUCUUGGACAUCAAGAAUGAUUAAUGUAAUUUAUGAAAGAUAUUUGAUUGAAUGAGUAUUGAAUUAACUAUA